AUUGAACGCUGGCGGCAGGCCUAACACAUGCAAGUCGAACGAGUGGCGGCCGGGUGAGUAAUGUCUGGGAAACUGCCCGAUGGAGGGGGAUAACUACUGGAAACGGUAGCUACUACCGCAUACCAUCGGAUGUGCCCAGAUGGGAUUAGCUAGUAGGUGGGGUAACGGCUCACCUAGGCGACGAUCCCUAGCUGGUCUGAGAGGAUGACCAGCUAAACUGGAACUGAGACACGGCCCAGACGCCUACGGGAGGCAGAAGUGGGGAAUAUUGCACAAGUGGCGAAAGCCUGAUGCAGCAAUGCCGCGUGUAUGAAGAAGGGCUUCGGGUUGUAAAGUACUUUCAGCGAGGAGGCGUUACUCGCAGAAGAAGCACCGGCUAACUUCGUGCCAGCAGCCGCGGUAAUUC
rnacentral:rRNA from 1 species